rnacentral:misc_RNA from 1 species
AACGAGGCCGACCUGCGGCUGAGUUACCUGCGGAGGGAUCAUUACUGAGUGUAAAAACUCCAAACCCAUGUGAACUUACCACUGUUGCCUCGGCGCAGUUUCCUGUCUGGUGGCGAGAGCUGCUGGGCGGGUUGCGCCGGUGGACUACCAAACUCUUGUAAUUUUGGCAUUCUGAAUAAAAAACUUAAUAAGUUAAAACUUUCAACAAUGGAUCU